CAAAAACAUGUCCUUUUGAAAAUAUUUAUAUAAGGUCUAGCCUGCCCAAUGAGGGGUUGAAUGGCUGCGGUAUUCUAACCGUGCUAAGGUAGCAUAAUCAUUUGUCUUUUAAUUGAGGGCUUGUAUGAAAGGUUGGAUGAAGUAAUGACUUUCUUUAAUUUAAUUUAUGAAUUUAAUUUUUAGGUUAAAAAGCUAAAAUGUUUUUAUAGGACGAGAAGACCCUAUAGAUCUUUACAAUUUAUUAGGUAUAAUGAUUUGGUGAGUUAUUUAUUAUUAUUUAAUAAUCCUGUUUGGUUGGGGUGAUUGUGGAAUUAUUUUAACUUCCAUUGUUUAUUUUUCAAGGAUUAUUGUUUUUUUGAUCCAUUAAUGAUGAUUAAAAGAUUAAGUUACCUUAGGGAUAACAGCGUAAUUUCUUCGGAGAGUUCAUAUUGAUGGGGGAGUUUGCGACCUCGAUGUUGGAUUAAAAUUAGUGUUAGGUGUAGCAGCUUAAUAACUAGGUCUGUUCGACCUUUAAAGUUUUACAUGAUCUGAGUUCA
rnacentral:rRNA from 1 species